rnacentral:rRNA from 1 species
GACGAACGCUGGCGGCGUGCUUAACACAUGCAAGUCGAACGGAAAGGCCCUGCUUGCCGGGUACUCGAGUGGCGAACGGGUGAGUAACACGUGGGUGAUCUGCCCUGCACUUCGGGAUAAGCUUGGGAAACUGGGUCUAAUACCGGGUAGGAGCCAUCUUUAGUGUGGUGGUUGGAAAGUUUUUUCGGUGUAGGAUGAGCUCGCGGCCUAUCAGCUUGUUGGUGGGGUAAUGGCCUACCAAGGCGGCGACGGGUAGCCGGCCUGAGAGGGUGUACGGCCACAUUGGGACUGAGAUACGGCCCAGACUCCUACGGGAGGCAGCAGUGGGGAAUAUUGCACAAGGGGCGCAAGCCUGAUGCAGCGACGCCGCGUGGGGGAUGAAGGCCUUCGGGUUGUAAACUCCUUUCGCUAGGGACGAAGCUUUUUGUGACGGUACCUAGAGAAGAAGCACCGGCUAACUACGUG